UGCAGGUUCUACAGGAAGCACGGUGUCUUCCGCUUCUGGGGAGGCCUGAGGAAACUUAGAACCAUGGGGAAAAGCAAAGGGAAAGAAGUCCCAUCUCACAUGGCAGCAGCAGGAGCCAGAAAGAGAGAGGGAAUGUGCCACACACCUCUAAACAACCAGACCUCAUGAGAACUCACUAUCCUGACGACACCACCGAGGAGAUAGUGCUAAACCGUGAGAAAACGCCCCCAGGACGCAAUUCCCCCCUCCAGGCCCCACUUCCAGCGCUGGGGAUUACGUUUUGACAUGAGAUUUCUGCAGAGACGCAGAUCCAAACCAUAUCAAAGUGUGAAGUGAAUCUGGUGGACCACUGUGGGCUUUGAAGAUGGAACAGACCACGUGGAGGGCGUGGAGGGUACAGCACUCUCUGUGAACUGAGAGUGGCCCUGGCUGACAGCCGGUGUGGAAAUAAGGACCUCAGAUCACUGGCAAUAAGAAACUGAAUGCCACAAACAACCUGAGUAUGCCUGAAAGUGGAUUCUUCCCCAGAGCCUUCUUCUAGCACGGGGCCCAGUACACACAUCGCUUUCCCCUUGUGAUAACUAAGGAGAGAACCGGAGACCUCCCCACUUCUGGCCGGACCUCAGCAGAUCCUUACUAUUUUAAAAGAAGC
rnacentral:lncRNA from 1 species